rnacentral:rRNA from 1 species
UACGUAGGGUGCGAGCGUUGUCCGGAAUUAUUGGGCGUAAAGGGCUCGUAGGUGGCCAACUAAGUCAGACGUGAAAUCCCUCAGCUUAACUGGGGAACUGCGUCUGAUACUGGAUGGCUUGAGUUUGGGAGAGGGAUGCGGAAUUCCAGGUGUAGCGGUGAAAUGCGUAGAUAUCAAGAGGAACACCAGUGGCGAAGGCGAGUCCCUGGACAACUUCUGACGCUGAGGCACGAAAGCUAGGGGAGCAAACGGG